rnacentral:sRNA from 1 species
UACUCGCAACCCGACUUGAGCGGAAAUCCUUUUUUGCCAACCUCCAAAUUCUAUGUCAAUGUGAAAUCGUAUGCAAAAAAGAUUGGGAGCGGAAGGCGGAUAAGUUG